AAAAGUGCUUUAUAAUGGGUUGUAUCCACUGCUGCACCGCUGGUGCCUUCUGCUGAUGCAAUCAUCAUCAUCAUCGCACUAGCAGAAGGCCAGUGGUGUAACAGUGGCUACAGCCCAAUGGGACCUCCAAUU